CCCGCCUCCAAAGGCACUGCAGGUGUGGCUGCUAUGCCACACGUAUGUCAGUGGGUGGUAAGGAGGAGAGAGGUCAUGUCUCUGCUCAGUGUUCUAACCUGCAAACAUCUGAAUGAUUAGUAGCUUAGUAUU
ensembl:snoRNA